rnacentral:RNase_P_RNA from 2 species
GCAGACUGAAAGCCACGAUGCUCGUUCCGCACAGAGUUCUACUCUUCAUUCGCGAGCGGGCUAAGGUCUGAGUAUUCUAGUUCCCCUUGCUUGAUUCUAGCUGGAUCUGGUCAUAACUAGCCAAGCGACGUAUCAGAAACGCACCGGUCCUUCGCCUCGCUGUUUUCAGCGCAUCCCAAGAUCUCGGACGAGGGAGGAUGUGGUGAAGGACUGGUUUGGAAGUCGUCGCGGGGACUGGGCAGUACGUCUCCUUUGAUCUCGCUUUCGCACUCUCUAUCGGCUUCCGCGUGUAUUCCUAGGAAUGCAGGAGAGCUGGUUGUGGGUUCAGUAGAACAGGCAUCCUCUCCGCCGUUGUCUUAGACGAUGGCCGCUGUCACCUUGGUGACAUUAUCCCACUCGAUUGCCUCAUGAGCACGAGGAUACCAGCGCCCGCAAUUGUAGAGAUGCAGAUUCUGAACUGAAUCUGGUGCGGCUUGAUGCUGCCUGAAGUGGAGCAAACGCACCCAGCAACGAGGGACUCCUGCAGCUGCUGGUAGGGUGGCACCGGCCACGCCGUGCCGCUGUCGAGCACCACCCGGUCUCACAGUUACACCCACCACGCCCUCGCCUCGAGUUUGGUCAUCACCACUCAUCAACGUACAAUGAACUGCGCAGAAUGCUGGCUCACUUUGCGGGUCGCGGGAUAUUGGAUGCACGAGGAGAAUGCGAAAGCACAUGGGAUCGGGGGAUUUGAUGUUCUGUCCUUUAGUGCACUUCGUGGCUUGCGUUUUGUCUCCCUGUGCUCGAGACAGGGAGACGACGUAAAACUCGAUUCAGACUACUCUUCGUCUGC